GCGCGAGUGAAGGGAAUUGGGCAUACCUGGCUCAUUCAAAACGAGUCGCGUGUCGGUUCGAAUCCGACCUCGCGCACCA
rnacentral:tRNA from 1 species